rnacentral:tRNA from 1 species
CGGGGCGUAGCGCAGUUGGCUUAGCGCGCUUGGUUCGGGACCAAGAGGUCGGCGGUUCAAAUCCGCCCGCCCCGACCA